rnacentral:tRNA from 1 species
GGGGUCAUAGCAUAACCUGGCAGUGUGGCCGCCUCCAGAGCGGCUGAUCUCGGUCCAAAUCCGGGUGACCCCA